GACACGUUCGCUUUCAUGAUCCCGCGAGUAUCCUUUGGGAAACCAUAGAUCCGUUCCAAAGGAAGUAUGCGGGCAAAACUGAAACUUAAAGGAAAUGACGGAAGGGCACCACCAGGGGUGGAGCCGGCGGCUUAAUUUGACUCAACACGGGAAAACUCACCCGGCUUGGACACCGGUAGGAUUGAUAAAUCGAUAGCUCUUUCUCGAUUCGGUGGGUGGUGAUGCAUGGCCUUUACUUAGUUGGUGGUGCGAUCCGUCUGGUUGAUUCCGAUAACGAACGAGACUCCAACCUGCUAAUUAGUGCGCCGAUGUGUGUGUCUAUUACUCGGGCGGGUGGGCUCGUCGUUCAUCGUGUCUGAUCCGAGUUGGUUUUCUCAUUCACUUAGAAUGAGUGAAAAGGCGGAGCGAUAUCAGGUUUGUGACGACCUUAGGUGUCUAGGGAUGCACACGCGCUACCCUGGGGGGUAUCAGCGGGGGAAUUCGCCCCGGUCAGAGAGGGUCUGGAAAUCUCAUAACUAUCUCAUGACCAGGGGAAUUAGGGGUCUGUAAUGAACCCCGUGAACGAGAAGAUUCCCGGUAGGCGUGCGUCAACAGCACGCGUAGCACACACUGACCGUCGCUACUACCGAUCGAACGGUCUGGUGAGGUCCUUUAAUCUGGCCGACGACGCGCCGAGCAGUGCGCUGUGGCCGUCUCCGUUACCCACGCAUGUCGUUCCCGUCUCAGCGUUCGAAGCCUGGAUAAGACGAACGAACCCGGUCGUUUAGAGAGGAGGUAAAAGUCGUAACAAGUUUUCCGUAGGUGAACAUGCGGAAAGAUUAA